GAACUUUUGAUACCUUUUCUAAAAUUCUCCAGUCAUUAAAUCUUUUACAAAAUUCAUUGAUUUACAAAAAAAAGAAGAUUUGGUAUGAUUGCCAUGUUGAGACAACUCUAGAUAAACGCUAAAAAUAUUCAUGUGAACUUUUGAUACCUUUUCUAAAAUUCUCCAAUCAUUAAAUCUUUUACAAAAUUCGUUGAUUACAAAAAAAAAGAAGAUGUGGUAUGAUUGCCAUGUUGAGACAACUCUCCACAAGAGACCAAUAUGACACAGAAAUUAACAACUAUAGGUCACCGUACGACCUUCAACAACGAGCAAAGCCCUUACCCCAUACUCAGCUUUAAAAGGCCCCGAACUGACAAUGUAAAACAAUUCAAACCAGAAAACUAGCGGCCUUAUUUAUGCACAAAAAAUGAACGAAAAACGAAUAUGUAACACAUAAACAAACGACAACCACUCAAUUACAGGCUCCUUACUUAAAUGUUCAUAACAUACUAAAUGUAUGUUCAUAUUGAAAUUAAUAGAAAACCAAAAAUUGGGAAUUU
rnacentral:lncRNA from 1 species